CAUAAAGAAGCUAGAAACUGGGGCAGAAAUAGAGAGAAAAACUGGCAAAAGAAAGAGAAAAAGAGAAGAAGAAAAGAAGAAAGAAAAGGAAGAAGAAGGAAGAAGAAGAAAAAAUGAUGGCAAUACCAACAUGGACCUUAAAGUCCUUCCUUAAUUACUUCAGGUAAGUAAAAGAUGUACUUAUGGGAAAUAAUUCUUGAAUUUAAGGUUUGUAAACAAUUACUCAUGUUAAAGUUGUAUUUGAGGUUAUAACUAAAUUAUGGCAAAGAAAUAUGUAAUUGUAAAUUAGUGUUGAAGAAAGUGGAAUUUGAGAUGGGUUUUUGAAAGAAAUACAUAUUUUUGAAAUUCUUGGGACUAUAUGAUGUUAAACACUUAAAUUAAGGACUUGAGGUUGAAAUUUUCCAUUUUUCCUAAAGAAAUUUUCAGGUUAUGUAAUGAAGGUGCUACUUUCUAAAUUUUCCCAGAAAAGUGUUAUUCUGUCCAUAUUUUGGUGAGUUUUCUAUAUAUAGAAUUUGGUGUCAUAAUUCAAUAUUUUGGAACUUUAGUGCCGUUUUUGUCAAAUAUUUGAUUUUCAGAUUUUAAAGGUUCGAAUGAAGUUAUAUGUGAAAUGCUGAAGCCUAUGUAUUGGACUAAAUUAUAUAUAGGGGUUGCAUAUAUACAAACUAAGUUAUACCAUUUUUUAUAAACCCGAGAAUUUUAAUUAGAUACUUGAGUAAAGAUAGUUUGGGAAAAUGAUAAUUAUCACGAAAUAUUCACUUGGAAGAAUGGUUUUAUGGAACAAAUGUAAAUUUAAUUGGUUGAAUUAUGGUUAUUAGCUUUGCUAGAUUGGAAGAUGGGAUAAUUAUUUUCAUGAUUAGAAUAAAGGUUAUGUGAUGAAUUGGCUAUUAGAUAAUGGACUAGAAAGUGGAAUUAGCUUGAAGUGAUUAAAGGAAAUUGGGGAAAGUUAUUCAAGUAUCGAGAAAUCAAGUCUUAGAUUUGAUCAUCAAUAUUUAAAACUACUUAGCAAGAUAGUGGUUAAAUUAGUUAUUUUACAUUGUCUUUCAGGUGGUGGCGAAGAGAUGGGAAAAACUUGUCAACCAUCAUGACCAUUAGCUUGUUUAGAGUGAGUGGAUAUCGCAUUUAUUUAAAUUAUAUUAGUUCUCAAACUUAUACGAAAUAAUUGUUCAUUAGAUUUCUUAUAGUAAAUCAUACAAGCUGCAAAAUUUAUUUAUUUCAGAAGAUUGAUUUAGAAAGUGUGAUUUUCAGAAUUAAGUUAUGAUUUUUUUUUAAGCAAUGCUUCUAAAAGAGAAAUUCAGUUCAGUUAAAUUAUUUCAUUAGCA
rnacentral:lncRNA from 1 species